rnacentral:misc_RNA from 1 species
GAAAUGCGAUACGUAAUGUGAAUUGCAGAACUCAGUGAAUCAUCAAAUCUUUGAACGAAAAUUGCACUAAUAGCAAUAUUAGUACAUUUAUUUGAGUGUCGUUUAAUAAUAUUUUAAUCAUUAAAUAAUGAAUGUCUACUUAUAGUCAUUUUAAUAAUAAUAUAUAAUCCAAUUAUUGUAAUAAUCUUGACUAUAUUUGAAAAAUUUUAUAUCAUGUUCGACCUCAAAUUAAAUGAGAUUACCCGCUGAAUUUAA